CUCAGUUGCUGCCUGACUGCAUGCUACCAGUUCCAAAUGAGGACCUGUGUGUAUCCCAGCCACAGUUCUCACCAGGACUCCAAGUUUUUAUUGAACAGGUUCUCAGUGUGAUGUGGCAGCCCUCUGAAACAUGAGGAAGCUUUCUGGUCUUUUUUUAGGCUGUGAAAUUGCUGUUUAGUGAACAGAAAGGAGUUAUAAGUCUUCCAAGAGCCUACUUUUCUUGUAUUAUUAAAUAAAAAAGUCCCCUUUGAUCAUAAAUCAUAGGUGUUCUUGCAUUUUAUUUCAACUAAGCUAAUUGAAAUACCUGCUCACAGUUCAGAAAUGCCUCCCUUUCACAGAUUCAUCUUAGUAUAAACUAGACAGAGCACUACUCCUCUUUACUGACUGGCAACUACCUUCAGGGCCAUAAAAGGUACUACUCUUUCUUCCAUUAACCAUGACAGUUUUCUAAAUGAAAUCAGGUGUGUCACUUCAAAGCACUGUGCAUCUUUUCAAUAACACUUACUGAGAAAUGCAGAUCCAGAUGUCCAAAGUGGCCAUCCACCAGUACUGCAGUACUCCACGUAGCUGGAGUGUUUAAUGGGGUCAGUUCCUUUGUAUCAGAAAAGUCUUAGAAAACUAAUGACAUUACCUAAAUCCAACUCAAAAUGACUAAGCACAAGGGCAGGCAAUAAUUUUUUAUGUGGGGGCCAGUCCAAGAAUUUGGAAGUGGUCAAGGGCCACACUUUUUCAUUAUAUUAAUGGAGG